rnacentral:tRNA from 1 species
GCGAACGUGGUGGAAUGGCAGACACGGCGGUCUUAGAAGCCGCUGCCGAGAGGCGUGGUGGUUCAAGUCCCUUCGUUCGCACCA